rnacentral:rRNA from 1 species
CAGCCGCCACGGUAAUACAGAGGGUGCGAGCGUUAAUCGGAUUUACUGGGCGUAAAGCGUGCGUAGGCGGCUUCUUAAGUCGGAUGUGAAAUCCCUGAGCUUAACUUAGGAAUUGCAUUCGAUACUGGGAAGCUAGAGUAUGGGAGAGGAUGGUAGAAUUCCAGGUGUAGCGGUGAAAUGCGUGGAGAUCUGGAGGAAUACCGAUGGCGAAGGCAGCCAUCUGGCCUAAUACUGACGCUGAGGUACGAAAGCAUGGGGAGCAAACAGGAUUAGAUACCCCCGUAGUCCCUGUCUCUUAUAC